CCUACGGGAGGCAGCAGUGAGGAAUAUUGGUCAAUGGGCGCGAGCCUGAACCAGCCAAGUAGCGUGAAGGCUGACUGCCCUACGGGUUGUAAACUUCUUUUAUAAAGGAAUAAAGUGAGGCACGUGUGCCUUGUUGUCUGUACUUUAUGAAUAAGGAUCGGCUAACUCCGUGCCAGCAGCCGCGGUAAUACGGAGGAUCCGAGCGUUAUCCGGAUUGAUUGGGUUUAAAGGGAGCGUAGAUGGGUUGUUAAGUCAGUUGUGAAAGGUUGCGGCUCAACCGUAAAAUUGCAAUUGAUACUGGCAGCCUUGAGUACAGUUGAGGUAGGCGGAAUUCGUGGUGUAGCGGUGAAAUGCGUAGAUAUCACGAAGAACUCCGAUUGCGAAGGCAGCUUACUAAACUGCCACUGACAUUGAUGCUCGAAAGUGUGGGUAUCAAACAGGAUUAGAUACCCUAGUAGUC
rnacentral:rRNA from 1 species